rnacentral:rRNA from 1 species
UGGAUGAGCCGCGGCCUAUCAGCUUGUUGGUGGGGUAACGGCCUACCAAGGCGAUUACGGGUAGCCGGCCUGAGAGGGCGACCGGCCACACUGGGACUGAGACACGGCCCAGACUCCUGCGGGAGGCAGCAGUGGGGAAUAUUGCGCAAUGGGCGAAAGCCUGACGCAGCGACGCCGCGUGGGGGAUGACGGCCUUCGGGUUGUAAACCUCUUUUACCACUAACGCAGGCUCGGGGUUCUCUCCGGGUUGACGGUAGGUGGGGAAUAAGGACCGGCUAACUACGUGCCAGCAGCGCGG